AUAAAGUCAAAAAAAUAUUCUACGCUUUAAACAGAAAUUAAGAAAAUGUGUUUACAGUGACUGAACGAGAGCAGAUCAUUUAAAAAGAGGGAGAUUACAUAUAUUAGAAUGUGAUUUUAACUACAGCAUCGAACAUUUUUUUAUGUUCAAUUUGAUCGUAUAUGAUGAAGGUUAUAUUAUCGAAAAAUCUUACGCAGGAAACUUUUAUCAUACAUUUUAAUACAUUGUAUAUCCUUUAGGUGAGCAAAUCCUCUGCAAGAUGAAAAUAGUCAAGAUUGUGUGUGCAAUGUUCAUGAUGCUUCUAUAAGUUUUAGCAGGAACAGUUAGUGGACAUCCACCACCAGGACGACUUGAAUUUAACAGAGUAAAACGGGAUGCUAAUGACAACACUUUGAUAAAAGAAGGUAACUUACAAUUACAAAAAGAAUGAUUAUUCAUGAUGUUGAGUUUUGAAUUACCACUACUACUACUUCUACUUCUUCUUCUUCUACUCCCGUUAUAAUAAUAAUAAUAAUAAUAAUAAUAAUAAUAAUAAUAAUAAUAAUAAUAAUAAUAAUAAUAAUAAUAAUCAUUCAAUUUCAUUUAUUAUAAUUAAAGUAACAAUGUUAGAAAUAAUUUGUAUUUUUCAGGUGAACAGAGAUUAGAUGGUCUUUGACACCACAAACUGGAUAUUUCAUCAUUUAAUAAUAGAAGCUUAAUUAAAU
rnacentral:lncRNA from 1 species